GAAAAAGCGUUGACGAGGAGAAGUAGGGAGCAUCGGCAUCCCAGAGAGAGCCGCCUGGGCUGGAAGCGGCUUAUGUUCGGUGCUGUCUGAAGUGCGCCUCGGAGUCUCCUUUCGAACCGGAACAGAGACGUUCUGCAGUAGAGGGGAGCGGAGCAUCUCCGUUAUCGGAAUCGAGUGAGCGAAACGGAGCCCCGUUUCGCUAAACAGAGUGGAACCGCGCCAAAAGCGUCUCUGUG
rfam:Geobacillus sp. BCO2 LR69_contig000034, whole genome shotgun sequence.